GGUGCUGCAUGGUUGUCGUCAGCUCGUGCCGUGAGGUGUCGGGUUAAGUCCCAUAACGAGCGCAACCCUUACCGUUAGUUACCAUCAGGUUAAGCUGGGGACUCUAGCGGGACUGCCAGUGAUAAACUGGAGGAAGGUGGGGAUGACGUCAAAUCAUCAUGCCCCUUAUGACCUGGGCUACAAACGUGAUACAAUGGCUGGAACAAAGGGAUGCGAAGCAGUGAUGUGGAGCGAAACCCAUAAAAACAGUCUCAGUUCGGAUUGAAGUCUGCAACUCGACUUCAUGAAGUCGGAAUCGCUAGUAAUCGCGGAUCAGAACGCCGCGGUGAAUACGUUCUCGGGGUUU
rnacentral:rRNA from 1 species